rnacentral:rRNA from 1 species
GUGGGGAAUCUUGCGCAAUGGGCGAAAGCCUGACGCAGCCAUGCCGCGUGAAUGAUGAAGGUCUUAGGAUUGUAAAAUUCUUUCACCGGGGACGAUAAUGACGGUACCCGGAGAAGAAGCCCCGGCUAACUUCGUGCCAGCAGCCGCGGUAAUACGAAGGGGGCUAGCGUUGCUCGGAAUUACUGGGCGUAAAGGGCGCGUAGGCGGACAGUUUAGUCAGAGGUGAAAGCCCAGGGCUCAACCUUGGAAUUGCCUUUGAUACUGGCUGUCUUGAGUACGGGAGAGGUGAGUGGAACUCCGAGUGUAGAGGUGAAAUUCGUAGAUAUUCGGAAGAACAACAGUGGCGAAGGCGACUCACUGGCCCAAUACUGACGCUGAGGCGCGAAAGCGUGGGGAGCAAACAGGAUUAGAAACCCGUGUAGUCC